UACGGAGGGGACUAGCGUUGUUCGGAAUUACUGGGCGUAAAGCGCACGUAGGCGGAUUUGUAAGUCAGGGGUGAAAUCCCGGGGCUCAACCUCGGAACUGCCUUUGAUACUGCGGGUCUCGAGUCCGGGAGAGGUGAGUGGAAUUCCUAGUGUAGAGGUGAAAUUCGUAGAUAUUCGCAAGAACACCAGUGGCGAAGGCGGCUCACUGGCCCGAUACUGACGCUGAGGCACGAAAGCGUGGGGAGCAAACAGGG
rnacentral:rRNA from 1 species